rnacentral:pre_miRNA from 15 species
UCCUGGCCAGAGCUCUUUUCACAUUGUGCUACUGUCUGCACCUAUCACUAGCAGUGCAAUGUAAAAAGGGCAUUGGCUGGGCA